GGUCAGCUGACACAUCCCUGCCAAUGUCCAGCAGACCCUCCCUCCCAGACCCUCCCACCUCCUGGACAGCAUCCAUGUUGAAGCUGCCUUCAACAUGGAUGCUGUCCAGGAAGUAGGAGGGUCUGGGAGGGAGGGUCUGCCGGAGAUUGGCAGGGAUGUGUCAGCUG